UGCCUCUUCUGUCCAUCUCUCUCACUCAGUCACCCACCUGGCCCUGGGAGUGGUUCCCCUCCGCGCGCCGCCGGCCGGCCGCCGCCGCGUUCCCCCCAACCAUCGCCGCCGCCUCCACCAACCUCGCCGCACCGCGCCCGCCUCUAACCAGCUCGACCGCGCCGAGCCACCGUCCACUCGGCCAGAUGCCGCCGCUCCGCCCCCCGCCGCCGCGGCUCCUCCUCAACAACGUCUCGUGCAUGCGGAACGCGCAGACGGUGCUCCGCGACAUCAACCUCAGCGUCCACGACGGCACGGCCCUCGUCCUGACCGGCGCCAACGGCUCCGGCAAGACCACCCUCCUCCGCAUGCUGGCCGGCUUCUCGCGCCCCUCGGCCGGGGAGAUCCUCUGGAACGGCCACGACAUCACCUCACCGGGCGUGUUCCAGCAGUACAAGCUGCAGCUCAACUGGAUGUCGCUUAAGGACGCCGUCAAGGAGAAGCUCACGGUUCUGGAGAACGUGCAGUGGUUCGAGCUCCUCGAGGGGAAGGACGGCAGCAGGUCGGGGCCGGCCAUCGAGCUCAUGGGGCUCGGCAGGCUCAUGAACGAGAAGGCCAGGAUGCUGUCCAUGGGGCAGAGGAAGCGGCUGCAGCUCGCCAGGCUUCUCGCCAUUGACCGCCCGAUCUGGCUGUUGGAUGAGCCCUCUGUCGCGCUGGAUGCGGAGGGUACCAGGCUGCUCGAGUACAUCAUCGCUGAGCACCGGAAGAAGGGUGGGAUCGUGUUCGUGGCGACGCAUCUCCCGAUCGAGAUUGAGGAUUCCAUGUCCCUUCGGCUUCCGCAGAGGUUCCCCCGGAGGAAGACGCUGGUUGAUCUUGUCCAUUGAUGUCAAUUAGGUUUUACUGCUGUGUUGCCUAUCCAUCUGAAGCUUCAGCUGGCGGAAACCAGGAAACUUGACCAAAUUCGCAAGCCUUUGUAUCAAAUCAGGUAACUGAUGUACGGUUUAGGAGCAUCUGUUCCCACACUUAUAUCAGUUAACGCAUCAAUUAUCAUUGAUUUCUGUCAUAAUAGUCACGUUAUUCUGAAUCUGUUUAUAAUUUUGCAGCUUAGACAUCUUUGUGGAGCUAAUCCUGCGUGCUAUAUGUUUCAGUACAAGUGCUGACUGCAUUUCAGAAAUGUGGUGUUGUGUUUAACUGAUAAAGAACAUUUGAUCUACAUUAAAUAGCUAUCCACUUGGUUUAUCUCUUCUGACAGCCCUAGUUUACAUAUCCUUUGUAAUUAUGGGAAUCCUCUGCGUAAAUCAACAACUAAGGUUACUUCUCUAGAAAUUUCAAUCUACUGAAAACAAGUUGUCACCAUUGAACUUAUUGGUAAUCACCAAUCAGUUUGCAAGCUGCAAAGAAAAUCGUAGGGCUAUUUGUAGAAGAACUGUGAGGAAUAAAUCAUUUCUUCAAGUUGAGGCAUUUCCAUGUGCUAUGUAUAAUUCAUGAUAGGCUGUACCUUGAUUUAUCGAGAGCUUAUUGAUUGGAUAUUAAAAGAGGUAUCGAGUUUAGUCCACCGGGACUUUUGCUGUAGUGAGAACUCCGUUGUGAAGCGCAUGAAAGAACAGAACAAUAAAGAUCCGUAUGACCAAUACAUUAUUCCAUAUCAUGUAGUCGCGCAAACAUUUUCAUGGUGCCCACUUAGCAAAUUGGCUUUCAUAUUUUGCGCAUUGUUUCCAUUGAUGCUAUGUGUACUUGGUUAUUCGGUGCUCCCAUCCAUUCAUGCCUGCUGAAAAAAGAUUACAAUCGUUGUAUCCAUAAAUAAAGGCCACAGAUUUUCUGGAGGAAGUUGCUUGCCUCGUCAGAUUUAUUAAACAGUUCUGAUCCCUACAUACCAUCGAAUUAAAUUUCUGUGCCCUGUACAAUGUGCCAAGCUGUUUCAGGUGUCAAUCCACAGCAUGCUGUUUAGGACAUUGCAUUCAUUUACAUUUUCUGCCAAAAAUACCUUUUCAUAUUCUUGGAUAUAGUUUUCAAGCAUAACGAUAAUAAUUCUUAUAUGUGUCUAGUUGUCUUUAUGAAGUUGAGCUUCUCGCCAAGAAUUGAAACGUUCUGAUUCUGGAAGCAAAGUAUGAGCAAAGACUGAUAUAAAAAGAAGAAUGUCUUUCUCCUAGGAAGUUUGAAUAAGAAAAUAACUCAAGAAAAAUAUAGUGUGUGUAUAUUUAUGUAAAUUCUUGUUAAUGCUAUGGAUUUAAUAGACUGCCAGUUCUUAGUUGUUCCAAGCUAGACUUUAAUACCGUCUGCUAUUUAUGAUUCUGGACAUAUUUUCCUUUUAUAAUAUGUACAAAAAGCUCGAGAUAUUGUGAUUCCUUGUUCUAACCAUGCACUUCUUACUAAACCUUAAGAAAUACUAGUAUCCGCAGAAAUUUAUACAUCAUGCGAAGGUCUGUCUUCAUAGAGCAAAAAGAAAGCCAAAGAACAAGGUAAAUCUUACAAACACUGUAUGCUGCUGAUAUGUUUCUGUGAUUUCCAUCUGAACUUUCUUUUACUUGGUUACUGCGUUGCUGAUUGUAAGUCGAAUCACCUGAUGUAUGCAUUCGGUAUAAUAGGCUGUCCUGUGUUUACUCUCACAGUACACUGGUGCAGGCUGUAAGAAAAGAGCAGUGAAUGCAGCAGAAAUAAGUCUCUGGGGACCAAUGGAGGUGCUCUCUGACCCCAUUCUUGAGGUAGCUGGCCCACUAUUCAAGACAAGAGUUCAUUUGACUGAACAAGGAAACUCCAAGAUCCAAAGAUACACAGUUUAAGAUAGCAGGACACAUGUAAGGAUGGAUUUGCACGCACGGGGAGCUUCAAUCCAAGGGAGACAGUGGAGUGCAAUGGCGAGGGAGGCACAUGGCCAGCUUCACUGAACGCUCAUAGCUAUGAGAGAAGGAAGAAACCCCUAAACAAGGACUCUCCAAUUCGAUGCGUGCAGCUGGACCGGACCCUACAUUGUAAAUGUGCGCCUGCCCCAUUGUUCAGAUCAGAUGGUCAGGGCGUGGUAUGGGUCCAUGCACACAUGCAUGCCCGAAGAUUGAUGCCAUGUCGACGGCGACCAGUGAGCCCCCAUUGCAAGCGAGGCAGCCAGGCAGCAGCGUCCUUGAAUUGAGAUGGAUCAGAGAAGCCGAUGUGAGCGGCAGCCAGGCGGCCGGUCUUGCGAGCCGAGCACGUUCAGGUGGGCUGAGGUUCUAGACGGCGGUGUCCGUGUGGCCGAGGAAACUGGAUUUGCGAACAGAUUUGGAGUCUGAAAGGCGUCAUUGGGGGUCCAGAACUUCAGAUCGGUUGGAACGAAGAAGGCAGCUUUCUGAUUCUGCAGACGGUGUGUGCCUUCUUGGCAAGGGGUGUUUGUUGCGGUCAUGGCGUGCCUGCCUGACCGAGUCUGCCUUGGCGUGCUCCAUGGGCCAUGGGGAAGAAAGACUUCGUGGCAAUAUGAGGUAGCCGCCGCCGCCGCCGUCAUCGUUGUACUACGAGAAAAUUGAACUGUAGGAGUAGUACACACCACCGGCGAUGGUGCAAACUUCGAGGUGGAGUCUCGCAUGUUUCCGAGAAGGAAGGUAUUGGUACGGAACAAGAACAAUAAACUCAAAGGCUGUGUUUACUUUCACGAAAAGUUCCCAAAAUUUUUCACUCACGCAAAUCACAUCGAAUCUUACGAUA